GAUGAACGCUGGCGGCGUGCCUAACACAUGCAAGUCGAACGAAUUGCUUUAAAGGAAGUUUUCGGAUGGAAUUUAAAGUAGUUAGUGGCGGACGGGUGAGUAACGCGUGGGAAACCUGCCCUAUACAGGGGGAUAGCCUCGGGAAACUGGGAUUAAUACCCCAUAAAACUCUAGUAUCGCAUGAUACAUGAGCCAAAGAUUUAUCGGUAUAGGAUGGUCCCGCGUCUGAUUAGCUAGUUGGUGAGGUAACGGCUCACCAAGGCGACGAUCAGUAGCCGGCCUGAGAGGGUGAACGGCCACACUGGGACUGAGAUACGGCCCAGACUCCUACGGGAGGCAGCAGUUGGGAAUCUUAGGCAAUGGACGAAAGUCUGACCUAGCGACGCCGCGUGAGGGAAGAAGGCCUUCGGGUUGUAAACCGUCUGUCAUGGGGAAGAAGUAAGUGACGGUACCCAACGAGGAAGCCCUAGCUAACUACGUGCCAGCAGCCGCGGUAAAGAGUAAGUACA
rnacentral:rRNA from 1 species